ACUCAAAUGAAUUGACGGGGGCCUACUACUAGUGGUGGAGCAUGUGGUUUAAUGCGAUAAUCCGCGCAAAACCUUACCAACCCUUGAAUAAAUUUUUAAAAUGAUUUUUAAAAAAUUAAUUAUAAAAACUAAUUUACAGGUGUUGCACGACUGUCGUCAGCUCGUGUUGUGAGAUUUGGUUAACUCCAGUAACAGGCGCAACUCUUAUCUUUUAAGUUUUUAACUAAUUUUUUAAAUUUUUUUUUAAUUUGCUUUAAAGAUACUUAUCAAUGACAAAUUGAAGGAAGUUAAGAAUCAAGUCAAGUCAAGGUGGCCCUAAUGGGUUGGGCUACACAUGUGCUACAAUGAAAAUUACAAUAAGUUACAAAAAUUUAUAAAUUUAAGUUAAUCUUCAAAAAUUUUCCCAGUUCGGAUUGUAGACUGCAACUCGUCUACAUGAAGUUGGAAUCACUAGUAAUCGCAAAUCAGCACGUUGCGGUGAAUACGUAAUUAGGUCUUGUACACACCGCCCGU
rnacentral:rRNA from 1 species